rnacentral:lncRNA from 1 species
GAAUAUGUUGUGGUGUUUAUCUUAUGUUGAUUAUCGUAUGCGGAUUGUUUCUUUUCGAUAGAGUUCCGAACCGCUUCAGAGUGUGAGGAUUCGUUGGACUAUGUUGGUUCGUCUACUUCACGGAUUUGUUCUUCUUCCAAGCGGGAUCUCGAGCAAGAUGAUCAUUUCCCUAGAUAUCACUACUAUCAUUGUUAUGAUACUUGUCUAGUUUCUAUCGCUAUGUCUCGCUGCCCAUCACCCGUUAUGUCAAGCCUUCCAAUAUUACCAUGAAAAGCCUCUAACACC